rnacentral:lncRNA from 1 species
AUUAACAUUUGGAUAUCACUUCUAUAAACCAACUAACAAAUGUUGUUUGAUUGGGUAGUUCAUUGUAAUCCUACACUAGGAUUUGCCCAAGAUAGAGCAAAUGAACGAGGGAUAGAACUCAAAGAAUGGUUCUUUAAGAAACAAGAUAGUGAUCAACAAAUAUAACAACCUAGUUCCUAUACCACAAGCUCCAAGGUAGUCGAGAAGGAUUUAUAAACCGUCUCAGUUCAAUUGUUUGAAUUUUAUGACUAUGUCAUAAAGUUACACCUCUUAAUUCGAAAGAAAUAAGAAUUAAAAUCCUUAUGACUACAUUGAGUGUAUAUACGAUAUAUACUCAAGGAAAUGGUAAAGUACCAUUUGACCCGAAAUAAUGAAACCUUAAAUAGCUAAUUGGUAGCUUAAGGUGACUACAAUCAAAUAGAAUGGUUGACUUUGAAGAAACCAUCUUUGAUGUAGUCUUGUUUUCAAUUAAUUCGAAGAUUGCUAGCUACAACUAAAUGGUGAUUCAAUGUUUGGACAUAAUAUAGGUUUCCGAAACCAUUAUUAAGAUGGUCUUGAUAAUAUAUGUCUAAAACUAUGAAUCACAAGACAUGUAAGUUGUAGAGAUCCAACCAUCAUGGAUCUUAGCAAGCUAGUGGGAGCUGUAAACGUCUUAUGAGAGAAAGAUCAAAACGUUUGAUUUCUCAUAAAGAUGUAAAUGAAUCUUUUGUUU